rnacentral:tRNA from 1 species
GGGCCCGUAGCUCAAUUGGCAGAGCGCCGGUUUUGCACACCGGAGGUCAGGGGUUCGAGUCCCCUCGGGUCCA